UUUCCCGAGUGCCUGCUGGAAAAGGACAGGAGCCGAGUGGACCAGUACGUGCGCCAGGCCCUGCUGUACCUGCAGAGCCCAGAGGAGCCCCUGCGAAAGCUGGCCAUCAAGUUUCUGGGGAUCGCCGCCAGGUCCAUGAAGCAGGAGCAGCCAGAGCUGCAGCUCAUCUGCCAAGCCCUUCAAGGCAUGACUGAUGACAGCCCUGCCGUCUCAGACCUGGCACGUGAAACGCUC